rnacentral:tRNA from 1 species
GCCGCCUGGCUCAGUCGGUAGAGCGCAAGGCUCUUAACCUUGUGGUCCUGGGUUCAAGUCCCAGGGUGGGCG